CCCACCCGUGUUUAUUUUACCUUGUUGCUUCGGCGGGCCCGCCUUAACUGGCCGCCGGGGGGCUUACGCCCCCGGGCCCGCGCCCGCCGAAGACACCCUCGAACUCUGUCUGAAGAUUGUAGUCUGAGUGAAAAUAUAAAUUAUUUAAAACUUUCAACAACGGAUCUCUUGGUUCCGGCAUCGAUGAAGAACGCAGCGAAAUGCGAUACGUAAUGUGAAUUGCAAAUUCAGUGAAUCAUCGAGUCUUUGAACGCACAUUGCGCCCCCUGGUAUUCCGGGGGGCAUGCCUGUCCGAGCGUCAUUUCUGCCCUCAAGCACGGCUUGUGUGUUGGGCCCCGUCCUCCGAUCCCGGGGGACGGGCCCGAAAGGCAGCGGCGGCACCGCGUCCGGUCCUCGAGCGUAUGGGGCUUUGUCACCCGCUCUGUAGGCCCGGCCGGCGCUUGCCGAUCAACCCAAAUUUUUAUCCAGGUUGACCUCGGAUCAGGUAGGGAUACCCGCUGAACUUAAGCAUAUCAUAG
rnacentral:rRNA from 1 species